AGUGAAUGCUGGCGGUAGGCCUAACACAUGCAAGUCGAACGGCAGCACAGUAAGAGCUUGCUCUUACGGGUGGCGAGUGGCGGACGGGUGAGGAAUACAUCGGAAUCUACUUUUUCGUGGGGGAUAACGUAGGGAAACUUACGCUAAUACCGCAUACGACCUACGGGUGAAAGCAGGGGAUCUUCGGACCUUGCGCGAUUGAAUGAGCCGAUGUCGGAUUAGCUAGUUGGCGGGGUAAAGGCCCACCAAGGCGACGAUCCGUAGCUGGUCUGAGAGGAUGAUCAGCCACACUGGAACUGAGACACGGUCCAGACUCCUACGGGAGGCAGCAGUGUGGAAUAUUGGACAAUGGGCGCAAGCCUGAUCCAGCCAUACCGCGUGGGUGAAGAAGGCCUUCGGGUUGUAAAGCCCUUUUGUUGGGAAAGAAAAGCAGCAGGUUAAUACCCCGCUGUUCUGACGGUACCCAAAGAAUAAGCACCGGCUAACUUCGUG
rnacentral:rRNA from 1 species